rnacentral:lncRNA from 1 species
GAAACAGGAGACAUCUCUACCCCAAAAUUGCUACAAGAUGCAUUACUUGGUUUCCAAGGUCUCGUCUGAAAAGAAAACCCGCUGCAGCUCCACUGAGGUCUACAGAAUGCCUUGUGAAGAUUAGGUCUUGUUAAAUCCAUUUAACAUAGAAGAUGACACAUUGGAAAGCUGAAUACCUUGCCCAAGACCUGCAGAAAACACCUGCUCAUCCUGCAGAGGAAGAAAGAAUUGAGUGGCUGUUUUCAGGAUUGCAGAGCAGCAGCCUUUCCCACAUGAAUCUCACCUCACUUGAGAGUAAAAUGGCAUUUCCUACCAAAUUGGUAAAGGUCAUUGUUUGCAAAGCUGCAUUCUUUUCAAACAUGACCUAAACAUGAAAAAAACAAAACAAAACACUUACUGAAAAGGUGAGCAUCACAGCAAAACCGAAAUAUGAACAUAUAGUUAAAGGGUUGGCAGUUGUAAUUUUUUUUUUUAAUUUCUGUCUUUACUUAGCAUUUUGGAGCAAAUGCAGUCAUGAGAACAGAACAGCCCUUCACUAAAUGUCAGAGUAAACACUACUUAUAACCACAAAGGAAAGGCUUUAUACUAAUAAUACGCACAUAAAAUUCAAUACUAUCAGAUAAAACAAAAAUAUAAGAACUUUCUAUUUUUAUAUUUCAUGAAUCAGAAAGGUCACAAGCCCAAUUUAAAAAAAAAUAUGCCUUGCAGGCAUGAAGGGUAAAAUGCUGAAGAUGAGAUGUAGUUUAUGAAAACAUAUUGUGCAGAGCAUGUCACAGGAAUGUGUUCUUAACAUAAUAAAGCAAAUCCAGGAGAGAUUUACCA